GAAAUGCGAUAAGUAAUGUGAAUUGCAGAAUUCAGUGAACCAUCGAAUCUUUGAACGCACAUUGCGCCCGCUAGUAUUCUGGCGGGCAUGCCUGUUCGAGCGUCAUUUCAACCAUCAAGCCCCUGUGCUUGUGUUGGAGCCCUGCGGCUGCCGCAGGCUCCCAAACCCAGUGGCGGGCUCGUCGUCGUACCGAGUGCAGUAAAUUUACCACGCUCAGGGCACGCGACGGGUGACCGGCCGUAAAACCCCCCUACUUCUUAAGGUUGACCUCGGAUCAGGUAGGAAUACCCGCUGAACUUAA
rnacentral:misc_RNA from 1 species